rnacentral:rRNA from 1 species
CGUUGUUCGGAAUCACUGGGCCUAAAGGGCACGUAGGCGGCUUUUCAAGUCAGGGGUGAAAUCCGGCAGCUCAACUGUCGAAGUGCCCUUGAUACUGAUGAGCUCGAGGGAGGUAGGGGUAUGUGGAACUUCCGGUGGAGCGGUGAAAUGCGUUGAUAUCGGAAGGAACGCCGGUGGCGAAAGCGACGUACUGGACCUCUUCUGACGCUGAGGCGCGAAAGCUAGGGGAGCAAACGGG